CCCUGCUAGGCCAAGCCCCCUUUUUUGUCAAAAUGACGAAAUCGCAGGGCCCAAUAGGAUGCUUCUCCUUGAGAAGUGUCAUCGCGAUGUGGUGCGCGUGCGCGGUUUCGCGCUGCACCAAUCGCAUUCUUCAUAGAGCGGCAUUGAAUGCUGCCCUAUGAAGAAACUCAGCGCGGAAUGCGCGUUCGCGAGCUGAGCUGUCUGACAGUACAGCUUGCUUUCUAUACCCGCCCCC